rnacentral:lncRNA from 1 species
UUUUUUUUGAGAUGGAGUCUUGCUCUGUCACCCAGGCUGGAGUGCAGUGGCACAUUCUCGCCUCACUGCCGAGAAUGCAACCUCCACCUCCGGGGUUCAAGUUAUUCUUCUGCCUCAGCCUCCUGAAUAGCCGGGAUUACAGGUGCCUGCAACUACACCAGGCUAAUUUUUGUAUUUUUAGUAGAGACAGGGUUUCAACCAUGUUGGCCAGGCUGGUCUCGAACUCCUGACCUCAAGUGAUCCCCCGCCUCGGCCUCCCAAAGUGCUGGGAGCACUUCAGUGUGAGCCACCGCGCCCAGCAUCACGCCCAGCAUCACGUGCGUUUUUUAACCUCACAGGCGAUUCCAGCCAGCACCUGUCCCUGGGGAGCCCUGAGCCUGUGGUACUUGGCCCUGAGGCUGGGAGGAGCUGAAAGGCUCCUGAUGUCCCAGACACAGGAUGUUUGCUGUGAGGAGCUUGGAAGUUAAAAUAGAGUAUGUUCUCAGACUGCCAGGUUAAUUUGCAGUUGGAAUAAGAAGCAAGCCGUGAGAAUCACUAAAGUGUUUCUAAGAUUUUUAUUGCUUGUCAAGUACAUCCUUUAGGGCUCCGCGUCUAAAUAUUUAAGAUUCCAGCUUUGCUCUUAUCAGAGCUCAAAUGUGGCCACAGUUCUCCCACCCUUUGCCUGGUCAUAAUUCAGAACCAACUUAUCACCAUGGUUUGUUCUCAUUCUCCUUCUCUUACUCCCAACCAGUGACACCCGGGCUUCUGCUUACAGCUGGAGGCACUGGCCACCUACCUUCCUUCCUUGGCUGGGAGCAUCAACAGCCAAGCCCCUUUACACGGCAGUCAUCUUGAUGAGUUGCUGGGGCCAAAGCCUGCCCUCCCUCCCUCUGUAAGCAGUAUGGAUUCCUUGUGGCCUUCUGAGCCUUCUCCUUGCUACUCAAGAGUUUCCAAAUCAAAAGACUUGCAGCCUGUUCCUGUUUUUUAAAAGUAUUUAUAAAAGCUGAAUGUCAAUUUUCUACUUAGAGUUAUAAAUAGAAGCAGAUGCUCUGGUUUGUUGAUCAGCACGCUGUGUUCUUACAGGGGAAGUCAAAGAAUCCGAAGUGUGCUUGGAGCAUAGAACUAGCGCAAGAGGGCGCUAGUGAGGCGGUGCGGCGCGGGCGGCCAGGAGCUAGGGUUUGAAAACAGACUUCGGUUUGAGCCCUGAAUCUGCCACUUAGAAGCUGUGUGCCCUUGGGAAGCGAUAAUAAUACAUUUACCAAAGUCAGACUAGAUAACCCCAGCACUGAGGAGUUAUCCACAUCAUCUCUUCGUCCUUCACAACAAUAAAUCUAUAAGCUAGAAGUUACCAUCUCCAGACUUACAGAUGAGAUUGCUGAGGCUUAAAAAAGUCAAAAAGGUACUCAAGGUAUCAUGAUAGGGCCUGGGGGAGUUGAAUGUAGUUUAGAUUAACCCCAGGACCUACUACUUUAUUUUUAUUGCGUUUAUUCAAAGGCAAAACCUGUAAGAGAUGCCUAAAAAUGAUAAUGGCUACCUUUCUUAAAAAAACUUUAUUGAGAUUUAAUUUUCCCACAAUAAAAUUCACCAAUUUCGGCUGGGCGCAGUGGCUCACGCCUGUAAUCCCAGCACUUUGGGAGGCCGAGGGGAGUGGAUCACUUGAGGUCAGGAGUUCGAGACCAGCCUGGCCAACAUGGUGAAGCCCCAUCUCUACCAAAAACACAAAAAAUUAGCCGGCAUGGUGGCAGGCACCUGUAAUCCCAGCUAUUCGGGAGGGUGAGGCAGGAGAAUCGCUUGA